rnacentral:rRNA from 1 species
GACGAACGCUGGCGGCGUGCUUAACACAUGCAAGUCGAACGGAAAGGCCCUGCUUUUGUGGGGUGCUCGAGUGGCGAACGGGUGAGUAACACGUGAGUAACCUGCCCUUGACUUUGGGAUAACUUCAGGAAACUGGGGCUAAUACCGGAUAGGAGCUCCUGCUGCAUGGUGGGGGUUGGAAAGUUUCGGCGGUUGGGGAUGGACUCGCGGCUUAUCAGCUUGUUGGUGGGGUAGUGGCUUACCAAGGCUUUGACGGGUAGCCGGCCUGAGAGGGUGACCGGCAAAAUUGGGACUGGGAUACGGCCCAGACUCCUACGGGAGGCAGCAGUGGGGAUUAUUGCACAAUGGGCGGAAGCCUGAUGCAGCAACGCCGGGGGCGGGAUGACGGCCUUCGGGUUGUAACCCGCUUUCGCCUGUGACGAAGCGUGAGUGACGGUAAUGGGUAAAGAAGCACCGGCUAACUACGUG